AAACAUGAGAGUUUGAUCCUGGCUCAGGACGAACGCUGGCGGCGUGCCUAACACAUGCAAGUCGAGCGAAGGGAGUACUACGGUACGAACUUAGCGGCGGACGGGUGAGUAACGCGUGGACAAUCUACCCUGUAGACCGGGAUAACACUGCGAAAGUGGUGCUAAUACCGGAUAAUGUCGAGAAGCGGCAUCGUUUCUUGAAGAAAGGAGAAAUCCGCUAUAGGAUGAGUCCGCGUCCCAUUAGCUAGUUGGCGGGGUAAAAGCCCACCAAGGCGACGAUGGGUAGCCGGCCUGAGAGGGUGAACGGCC
rnacentral:rRNA from 1 species